rnacentral:rRNA from 1 species
UACGUAGGUGGCAAGCGUUGUCCGGAAUUACUGGGCGUAAAGCGCGCGCAGGCGGUUCUUCAAGUCAGUGGUGAAAGCCCGGAGCUCAACUCCGGAACUGCCAUUGAUACUGAGGGUCUUGAGUAUGACAGAGGUGAGUGGAACUGCGAGUGUAGAGGUGAAAUUCGUAGAUAUUCGCAAGAACACCAGUGGCGAAGGCGGCUCACUGGGUCAUUACUGACGCUGAGGCACGAAAGCGUGGGAGCAAACAGG